rnacentral:antisense_RNA from 1 species
AGAGAAAUACAAAAAAUCACUUAA